GGUAGCACUUAAAGUAGAUGGCUCGAGCUAGCAAAAAGACAGUAAUAGAGAACAACAGAUUAAAACUAAAAUGAUACUUGGAGAUAGCAGGAGUUCUCUCAGGUUUUACGUGUGGGAGAUUCUGCACUCCACCAUCCCGUAAGAUGAACAAACACGUCCAGAAGAUUCAGAAACAGCAUAAAAAGAGCAAGCCUGGACCGUGGGGAAAAGCAAACAAACAAAUCAACAAGAAAAAGCCAGCACAUUUUUCCUCUGCACAGAGAGAGCGAGAGAGACAGUUGUGACAAGAAAAGACAGGGCUCUGGCACGUAGGCACUAGGCAGGUCGUCACGAAGCCCGACUAGUGAGUGACUGAACUACUAUCAUCACUCGGAAUCCACUGCACUCAUUUUAACCCUCUGAAGCUGAUCUGCACAAGAUUGAGUUAGAGAAAAGAGGUUAGCACCAUACUCAGCUCCAAGAAGAGAGAAAAGAUACGCAAGCACCAGCCUUCAAGGUGGCAAAGCCCCCAAAACAAGACCCCCUCGCCGCCCCCAUUCUGUCCCAGAGAUCACAUCACAGGGAUCCUGAACAGUACUCACGUGCAUACAAAACAAGUUGAGAAAAGAAGAUCUGAGUCUCAUAACAACACCAUGUAACAUGCCUUUGUUCCAAUUAUACCAGUUCUUAAAGGAAAACUCAACCCGAAAACUCUGCAUCACACGGGGGAUGAUUUAUGUCAUUUUUAAGUUACAUAUCUUGAAAACUUGAGUGCCGACAAGCAAAGCAUUUUUGGGACUAUAUCAACAAUGGACUAAUGAAACAAACACCAAACGACGAUAUUGGGGUGGAAUUCUCCUUUAAGAAGCCAUAGAUAAUGCUGCGAAAUAGUGACUACAUCGUUUUUCUCUGGUAGCUUUUUUGCAAUACGUAAUGAUUCCAUGGCUAUUUAGAGGGCGUACCGGCUAAUAUGCUGUUCAAACAAAGCUAAUGUACAUGUAUGGGGCCUGCAACACAAAAUGGAUAUGUCAUUCACACUAGAGACAAGGGGUCAAUAACGACAAAUAAUACAUGAUUAAUACAUGAUUCGGCUCUUGGAUGGGGUAAGCUGGGGUAAGCUAAGGUCAAAGGCUGAAGGUAGUGAUAAAAACAAGAAAUGAGUCAGACAGAACUUAUGCAUAUUGUGUUGCCAUAUGCAUAACAAAUAUAUUUCACACUAUAAGACAUCACAACAAAUACCAAGGUGACCUGUAUAGUCAAAGUAUGGAAAUGAUUUUUUUUAAACAAAAUACUUAUAGCAAUAUAUUUAUGCAUUUACUGAUGGGGGGGGGACGGGACUGUUAACCAAAUACAUUUUGGUUAAGCUGGAUUCCGUAGAGACCUGUAUGAAAGUCUUUUUUACAUAGUAUGCACCUGUAGAAACGUAUUUGGACUGUGUACAAGACCGACAGCUUUCCUUGCAUAAACACAAGGAGGGGAACGAACAAUUAUUGACAGAAAUAUUGACAGUGCAGUGAGGUAAUGCUAUGUGAGGUCUGAAAUGUUAUUUUAGGGUCCAGUUCAAGGAAAGGAUAUUUCAGUUGCACUGACGAAAAAGGUGGCCGUGACUAUGAAUUAAGACUGUUCCAGUCCCUCCGUGCCUUGGUUCCCGUAAUACACAGUUAAGCCAUUCAGCUCUGAAGUACUUUCUCCCCAAACUCUCAUUAGAUACACUCAAAUAAGCACUCAAAUUAGAGCCACCUCCCAAAGGUCAAAAAGUAGAUUUUGAUAAUAUCAUAUUAAAAAAAUGAAUUUAUUUCAUAUGCUCAAAAGAGUAUUACUCUUCAAUAUCUGAGUGUGCUUCUUUAACAUAAUGAAGAAACUCGAAGCUCUUGUGAUAUUAAUAACAUCUCAAUUUCAUAUUUGACUAUCUGUUUCAAACAGCUCUCUAUCUCAGGU
ensembl:lncRNA